rnacentral:lncRNA from 1 species
GGCAACGCACCAAUAUUAAUUGAGAAGAGCCGCACGAAAGAAGGGAGGGGACACAAACCAUCAGACGAAGAUUCCUGGAGACGUGAACAUCAGCCGCACAUGAGGGGAUCUAUUGGCAAGGAUUCAAGGUCUAAGAAUUAUCGGGUUGAAGCGGAAAGCUUAGAGAUCAAGAAUUAAACGGGUUCUAUCUCUCCGGGUUCUUUCUUGUUUUCUUAGUUAUUUGUUUCAUGUCUGUGAAUUCUGAUUUUAAACUUUGUGUUUUUGUUUUUGAGACCAUGAUUCUUGGCUAGAUUUCUUUAACUACCUAGGCUAAUGACAAUAGUUAAAUAAAGUUUGGUUCUUUAUUCGAUUUUUGGCAUGGUUGUGGAUUUUUCUUGUAUUGUAAAAGCUUUGGGAAUUUAACUUGGUGCGUAUGUGUGCUUGUGAUUAUUUUAUUAUUGAUAUUUGUUUCAUAUAAUCCUUGGUGACGGUCUUUAUCACACAAUAGGGUUAUAUUAGGAUUCUUGAUUUAGGUGAGUGUCUAUAUCACGUAAUAGGUCAUUAAUCCUUUAGGGUGAAAACGCGUAGGUAACCUUAGAAACAAUAGUCGGUAAUUAAAUAAAAUCAAGUGUGUUGCUAAACUUGUCGCUGAGAGGCUCGAGGUUAUUAAUAGGUCUCGGUUUGGUUAUAAGUCCUUAACAUUCCAUAGUCUAUUAAACCAAGAUUAAAACCCAUUGUCGCUUUAGACGUUCGCGCUGAAAGGUAGAGCGUCUUUGUAACAUCCCAUAAUUUAUAAAAUAGGAUGCCUCAACAUUUACAAACAUUAUAUAAUAAGUUGUGGUAUUUGUAUUAAAAAUCUAAAGAAAGUUUAUAAAAUUAUUGAAUGGGUUAUAAGAGUCCAUAAACCAAACUUGAGGGAUUGUUUGUGUAACAAUUAAUAAAUGUAAGAUAAAUUAAUUAGUAAAAUGAAAACCCAGAAUGUUCUGGGUUGUGUGGUCGCGACCAGAGAAGGGUAAAAGAGGGGGGAACCCUAAUUGCUUCAAUUAACCUCAAAUUUCAGCAAGAUUGUGAAGGAUUAGAGACAUAAAUCGCAUGCUAGUGUUUACAUACUCUCUAAUCCAAGUGAUUUGAACAUAAGGUAAGAUAGAAUCUCACAAUUUGAUGUUUGUUUAUGAACUAGGGUUUAUACCAAUUCGUGAAUUAGUAUGAAAUUAGAUUGUAUGUGAGUUAGAAUCAUCAUGUAGAAGGUAUAUUGUGCAUGAAUUCGAUUUACUAAGGAUUUGGGGAAAAACCCACUUGUUCUAGCAUGAUAGUGAAUGGAUUGUUGAUUGGUUGAGUAAAUCUUCAAAUAAAAUUGUAUGAAUGAUAGAGUAUUAGUAGAUUUUAUUGUGUAGAAAGAAUAUUUGAACAUGAGUGAUUGAUUAUGUGAAAAGUGAUGUAUUCUAUUGAAUUUAUGCAUAAGAUACAUGUAUACAAGGCUUGAUAAGUAGUACGCAUGUUAGGUGUUUGAUUAAAUGCCUCAAUGACAAUCUAAGUAGUCUUGAAUAAAUCAUGAGCUAAUGGUAUUGGUAUGUUGAAAGUUAAUGCAUUGUUAAUUGUUAUAUGAGUGACAUUGAUGCUUGGAAGUAUGAUUAUGAUUGUGAGAAUGAUGAUCUAAAUAAGAACGAAUUCAUGUAGGAUCGAAAGAAGAAGGAGCUAGUUCCGGAUCACAAACAAAGUCACAAGAUCGAGAAUGUGAAAGUGAGAAUCCGUAGCGAACCAUAAUGAUUGGCUCGGUUCGGGUUCGAAUGGAAGAGAAUCAAAUGGAAGCUUUCUCCUUAAUCCGUACUAAACGGGUUAUUGGGGAUAAAUGAGAGAUAGUAUGCUUAUUCAAUUAGAAUGAUUUGAAACGUAAUAAGAAUGAUUGGUAAAGCACAAGUUUGAUCGUUGUUGCGUCGCUCGGAUAUGAACACACCUUGAUCACCCGUGAUGCGCUUCCGCAACUUUUGUAGUAUCUUUAUUAGUCAAAGACUUUUGUCAAGAUAGUUGUGUUUGGAAGUUUUAAGUUUUAACUAUAUGUUUGUGAAUACUUAGGUAUCUUAAACUUGAUGUUUUGAAUCGGUAGUUUAAAUGUUAAGAACUUCCUUAUGUUUUUGAAGAUGUCGUCAUUUGAGUAUUUGGUUUAUUAUAAACAGGGAAGU